rnacentral:RNase_P_RNA from 1 species
GCAGGCCAAUCUUAUCGCCUUGAAUUUUCUUCAAGGAGGAAAGUCCGGACACCAUAGAGUAACAUAGCGGAUAACAUCCGUCCGACGAAAGUUGAGGACCAGUGCAACAGAAAGAAUGUACAGUUCGGCUGUAGUGAAAUCAGGUAAACUCUAUGUGGUGAAAUGCCAAGUAUAUUAGAGCUCCAUUAUGGAUAAGAGUUACUCGCUCGAUUCUAACGGGUAGGCAGAUGGAUCUUAAGAGUAAUUUUAAGACUAGAUAAAUGAUAAGACAUCUUUCAAAAGAUGACAGAAUUCGGCUUACUGGCCUGCUAUU